AUUGAACGCUGGCGGCAUGCUUUACACAUGCAAGUCGAACGGUAACAGGGUGCUUGCACCGCUGACGAGUGGCGAACGGGUGAGUAAUGCGUCGGAACGUGCCGAGUAGUGGGGGAUAACGCAGCGAAAGUUGUGCCAAUACCGCAUACGUACUGAGGUAGAAAGUGGGGGACCUUCGGGCCUCACGCUAUUCGAGCGGCCGAGGUCUGAUUAGCUAGUAGGUGAGGUAAAGGCUCACCUAGGCGACGAUCAGUAGCGGGUCUGAGAGGAUGAUCCGCCACACUGGGACUGAGACACGGCCCAGACUCCUACGGGAGGCAGCAGUGGGGAAUUUUGGACAAUGGGCGAAAGCCUGAUCCAGCCAUGCCGCGUGUCUGAAGAAGGCCUUCGGGUUGUAAAGGACUUUUGUCAGGGAGGAAAUCCCUAGUGCUAAUAACACUGGGGGAUGACAGUACCUGAAGAAUCAGCACCGGCUAACUACGUGCCAGCAGCCGCCGUAA
rnacentral:rRNA from 1 species